rnacentral:rRNA from 1 species
AUUGAACGCUGGCGGCAUGCCUUACACAUGCAAGUCGAACGGUAACGCGGGGCAACCUGGCGACGAGUGGCGAACGGGUGAGUAAUGUAUCGGAACGUGCCCAGUUGUGGGGGAUAACUGCUCGAAAGAGCAGCUAAUACCACAUACGACCUGAGGGUGAAAGCGGGGGAUCGCAAGACCUCGCGCAAUUGGAGCGGCCGAUAUCAGAUUAGGUAGUUGGUGGGGUAAAGGCCCACCAAGCCAACGAUCUGUAGCUGGUCUGAGAGGACGACCAGCCACACUGGGACUGAGACACGGCCCAGACUCCUACGGGAGGCAGCAGUGGGGAAUUUUGGACAAUGGACGCGAGUCUGAUCCAGCCAUGCCGCGUGCGGGAAGAAGGCCUUCGGGUUGUAAACCGCUUUUGUCAGGGAAGAAACGCUCUGGGUUAAUACCUCGGGGUAAUGACGGUACCUGAAGAAUAAGCACCGGCUAACUACGUGCCAGCCGCCGCCGUAACAC